AGAAAUACCUGAGAAUCACAUUGAUGAAUCAUAUGAUCAUAUGAUCUUUGCUAUGGAUGCAGCUUCUUUGGAGGAGUUUGGUUCACAUGGCCUCCUUACAGAUGGAAGUCCUUUUAGGCAUCUGUUUCCAGAAGAGGGAGGCAUCAUCUGUAUUGAAGAUUCCCUCUGGCAAGAUCGUAGCUGUGGAAUGGGCUAUGCCUGACUAUGGAGAAGCAACCAUCACUGAUUUCCCACCCUUUUAGUCCUUAAUCACCUUUAAUUUUGUUUACAGGUCAAUCACUCAACAAAGGCUCUUAUUCACAACAUUAGCAGUGAGUGGAUUUUUAUGCUAAGAAGCUGUGAUGAGCAAAACAAAAUCAAGCACAGGAUAAAACGAUGCAAUCAAGAGAUAGGGUAAACACAAGGUGUACAAGGCUGCUACUGGUAUCACACAGCAGACUGUUUACUGAACUUGUUUUUCUAAGUAGGAGUACAAUCUGGAAUAACGGUGAUAGAGUACAGUAAGCCAGGAACACAGCCAUUAUGGUUAUCUAGUAUUAUGUACAAUAUGCGUCAUCACCUGGCUUCACCUGUAUCCAGCUGGCAGCACAGAAACAUCAUCUACACCAGCAGCACACAUGCACAUGAGGAAUGAGCUGCACUAUGAUGUCACGCCAGCUAUGGUGGCCCUCGGUGAUAGGAAUCUUCAGCUCCAUUUUAAUCUAAUGGGGUCAGCACCAUAGAUGUGAUCUGUCAUUGACUAAAGUGUUGUUAUGGGUGCUUUAACAAGUUAAUUAAUGCUUCUUACACCUUUUCUAAACAUACUCCUGACCAGUCUGUCUCUGAUAUUAACACGGACACAAAAACCUUCAUACCUGUCGCAGUUGGGGUUUGCAAGAGAAUAGAUUUAAUACAGAACACAUAAAUUAUAGGGUUUUAUAAUAUUCACCCAAAAAGCCAAGUGCAGAGGAGUGCAAGAGAUCUGCCUACAUACUAGAGACCUGAAGAAUCCAGCUGAGGCCCUUGAUCCCAAGGCAAUGUCUUGCAAAAGUCCAGCUAAAGGCCAAGAGCCCAAGACAGUGUCCUGUAGGUGUCCAGACAGAGGCCUAGAUCCCAUGGCAAUGUCUCUUAUAAGUCCAUAUUGAAGAUCUGUACCAGGAAGGCCCAAAGGCCAGUGGUGGAAUCUAGAAAGUCUGCACCGGCAGGGUAAAGGAUCUGUACCAUCAGGCUGAGGGAUCUGCAUUGGAGCCAGGAAUCGAUACUUGAGGCAAAGACCAGACCUCCCCUGACAAGAACAUCAGCCAUUCUCAGCAACAGUGAGGCCCCAAGCUCCUCCUCUGAUGAGAAUGGUCAAGUCACAUCAGAAAAACUCACCUCGGUGAGUCUCCCCAGGAAAAUCAAAAGCAUACGAUCGGCUCUUCCCCUCCAGUUAUCUUUUUAUGCCACUGGCAACAAUCCUCAGGUGGGUCUUACAUGACCAGAACCACACUGACUCUGUUCAGCUGGGCGUUCCAAGUUGAUCAUUGGUUAGUCCACCACAGUAGCAUUGGGCAUUCUUAAGUGCUUUUGGCAAAACUGUUACUGGAUUGGUGUGUUUGUUUCACCUGAUAUCCAGGUUCUAUGUGUCCCAAACAAACACUUGAGCCAGGCACACAGCAGUAGUAAGAAAGGCAGAGAUUAUGGAAGGUAAAGUACACUCCACAGAGCAGGAAAGCCUGUGAGAAAACCGGAGGGUGAGUUUGACUCAGGCUGGCCCGUCUGUAUUAGGUUUGAGUUUAAAGAACAGUUGGAAGCCCUGUGUGGUGGUGCACACCUAUAAUCCCAGCACUCAGGAGGCUGAGGCAAGAGAAUCAUUGCAAGUUCGAAGACAGCCCUGGCUACAUAGUGAGUUCAAGGCCAGGCUGGACUACAUAGUAAGACGCUGUUUCAAAAACAAAAUAAAAUAAAAUAAUUAAAGUACACUUAGGAGAGUUCCAAACAGGCAGCUCCUAGAGGUGGUAACUGAUAGUAAUGAAAGCAAAGCCUCAAGCACAGAAUGGGUGGGCAGUGCCAGAGGUAGCAAGUACUGUGAGCUCCAGGGUUGGCUUCCCUUGUUCUGCUAGAAUCUGGGGAGUGAUCAGGGAUGUAGCUCUAUUCAGCUGAUUGAGUCUCCAUCCUCUCAUCAGGAGGGGUGUUUUGGGCCCUAGAGGGACUAGCAUGGCUGCCACAGGGGUGGGAGAUGGGGGUCAAAACACAAUGAUAAUCAGUACUCGGGUGGCUGAGGCAGGAGGAUCGCUGUGAGUUUGAGACCAGCCCGGGCUACAUAGUGAGUUCCAGGUCAGUCUCAACUACAGUGAGACCCUGUCUCAAAAACAAAAACAAAAAACCCCCACAAUGCUAAUGAUGUUUUCAUGAUAGGGGGUUACCCUGGGUUAUUCAGAGCAGCUAGAGCAGGUGCUCCUCUGGUGCAUGUCCAGGCUCAAUGAAGUGUGUGCUAAGAGUAGAAUUAUUUUUCUUAGGCUUAUGUCAGGAUGCUAAGGAGCUAUGGUGAGACCAGGAUGCCCUUGUGGGCUCCAGGUCUGUUGUAUGCCUACAGCCAGGACACCUACACUGUCUACCUCCUGCCUGAAAACCUUCCCCUGGAGUGUGAGUGGCAUUAGUUAUGAGAGCAGAGUUUGGAGUCACUGCUAUCACUGCAGCGCAGCAGAUCCC
ensembl:lincRNA